rnacentral:rRNA from 1 species
AUUGAACGCUGGCGGCAGGCCUAACACAUGCAAGUCGAACGGUAACAGGAAGCAGCUUGCUGCUUUGCUGACGAGUGGCGGACGGGAGAGUAAGGUCUGGGAAACUGCCUGAUGGAGGGGGAUCACUACUGGAAACGGUUGCUAAUACCGCAUAACGUCGCAAGAUCAAAGAGGUGGACCUUAGGGCCUCUUGCCUUCGGCUGUGCCCAGAUGGGAUUAGCUAGUAGGUGGGGUAACGGCUCACCUAGGCGACGAUCCGUAACUGGUCUGAGAGGAUGAACAGCCACACUGGAACUGAGACACGGUCCAGACUCCUACGGGAGGCAGCAGUGGGGAAUAUUGCACAAUGGGCGAAAGCCUGAUGCAGCCAUGCCGCGUGUAUGAAGAAGGCCUUCGGAUUGUAAAGUACUUUCAGCGGGGAGGAAGGGAGUAAAGUUAAUACCUUUGCUCAUUGACGUUACCCGCAGAAGAAGCACCGGCUAACUCCGUG